rnacentral:rRNA from 1 species
AUGAGAAGGGCCGGGGAUGAGGUGAGGAAGGGUGGCGAGGAACUUGGCGAUGGGGACAACAGGAAUUGCUGCUGGUGGCGCUCGGGUCCAUGGGACGCGAAAGCCGAGGUUGAAGGCGAGGCACAUGGAAGGUCUGGGCGCGGCAUCGAGAAGAAACAGGAGGAGAAGCGCGCGAGAGAAGAGGUGCUCCGACGGGACUACUUGCUGACGAUGGCCGGAGAUAGAGGCGGGGCCCUCGGACUCGAGCAGUGGUGGGGCGCAUUAGCCGCACGGAGGCGGAGAGCUUGGGGCGCUGGCGGCGUCCUCAGGAAGGAGAAGGGGGAGCAAGCACAAAUGAAACACACGAUGAUCACGAAAAUAUGGAAGUCUUCUGAAGCGUCGGUCUCGGGGCGUUACAACACUCCACCACUACAAGAGGAUCUUGUCCCGAGAUCUAGGAUGGCACCGGGGAGAAACGGAAGAGGAAGAGGAAUUGAACAUGAACUAGACAAGAUGAAAGGAUACUUGAAAAGAGGUCACGACACUCCGGUUGAAUGGAUAAGCACGAAAAGAACAUGGUCCUCACAAUCCGAGAUGAUGAGUGAAGAGAGCAACAUCACAAUGCUUCCGGAAGAAAGAAUAGAAGAUAGCUCAUUGGAAUAA